rnacentral:rRNA from 1 species
UACGUAGGGACCGAGCGUUGUCCGGAAUCAUUGGGCGUAAAGAGCGUGUAGGCGGCCACUUAAGUCCUGCGUGAAAUCUUGCGGCUCAACCGCAAGCGGUCGUGGGAAACUGGGUGGCUAGAGUGCGGGGAGAGGAGAGUGGAAUUCCUGGUGUAGCGGUGGAAUGCGCAGAUAUCAGGAAGAACACCCGUGGCGAAGGCGGCUCUCUGGAACGCAACUGACGCUGAGACGCGAAAAGCGUGGGGGAGCAAAACAGG